rnacentral:rRNA from 1 species
AACGCUGGCGGCGUGCUUAACACAUGCAAGUCGAACGGAGAUUUAAGAGGAAGCUUGCGAAUCUUAAAUUUUAGUGGCGGACGGGUGAGUAACACGUGGAUAACCUGCCUGUAAGACCGGGACAACACCUGGAAACGGGUGCUAAUACCGGGUAAGCUCUUCAGCCCGCAUGGGCAGAAGAGGAGAGGGGAAACCCGCUUACAGAUGGGUCCGCGGCCCAUUAGCUAGUUGGCGGUGUAACAGACCACCAAGGCGACGAUGGGUAGCCGGCCUGAGAGGGUGACCGGCCACACUGGAACUGAGACACGGUCCAGACUCCUACGGGAGGCAGCAGUGGGGAAUCUUCCGCAAUGGGCGAAAGCCUGACGGAGCAACGCCGCGUGAAUGAUGAAGGCCUUCGGGUUGUAAAAUUCUGUCUUCAGGGAAGAAAAAAAUGACGGUACCUGAGGAGGAAGCCCCGGCUAACUACGUGCCAGCAGCCGCGGUAAUAC